rnacentral:rRNA from 1 species
GAUGAACGCUGGCGGCGUGCCUAAUACAUGCAAGUCGAGCGAACAGACGAGGAGCUUGCUCCUCUGACGUUAGCGGCGGACGGGUGAGUAACACGUGGAUAACCUACCUAUAAGACUGGGAUAACUUCGGGAAACCGGAGCUAAUACCGGAUAAUAUAUUGAACCGCAUGGUUCAAUAUUGAAAGACGGUUUUGCUGUCACUUAUAGAUGGAUCCGCCCCGCAUUAGCUAGUUGGUAAGGUACCGGCUUACCAAGGCGACGAUGCGUAGCCGACCUGAGAGGGUGAUCGGCCACACUGGAACUGAGACACGGUCCAGACUCCUACGGGAGGCAGCAGUAGGGAAUCUUCCGCAAUGGGCGAAAGCCUGACGGAGCAACGCCGCGUGAGUGAUGAAGGUCUUCGGAUCGUAAAACUCUGUUAUUAGGGAAGAACAAAUGUGUAAGUAACUAUGCACGUCUUGACGGUACCUAAUCAGAAAGCCACGGCUAACUACGUG